UACGAAGGGGGCUAGCGUUGCUCGGAAUCACUGGGCGUAAAGGGUGCGUAGGCGGGUUUUUUAAGCAGGGGGUGAAAUCCUGGAGCUCAACUCCAGAACUGCCUUUGAUACUGAAGAUCUUGAGUCCGGGAGAGGUGAGUGGAACUGCGAGUGUAGAGGUGAAAUUCGUAGAUAUUCGCAAGAACACCAGUGGCGAAGGCGGCUCACUGGCCCGGUACUGACGCUGAGGCACGAAAGCGUGGGGAGCAAACAGG
rnacentral:rRNA from 1 species